GACGAAGGUGGCAAGCGUUGCUCGGAAUUACUGGGCAUAAAGGGCGCGUAGGUGGCGCGGUCAGUCGGCGGUGAAAGCCUGUGGCUCACCCAUAGAAUUGCCGUCGAUACUGCCGUGCUCGAGGGCAGGAGGGGAGAGUGGAACUCCUGGUGUAGCGGUGAAAUGCGUAGAUAUCAGGAGGAACGCCGGUGGCGAAAGCGACUCUCUGGACUGUUCCUGACACUGAGGCGCGAAAGCUAGGGGAGCAAACAGG
rnacentral:rRNA from 1 species